UUUGUGCUUGGCAUGUUAAGCUCUAGGAACCUGGGUGCCUCAGCUGGCACUACUAUUCCCAGCAGGAAACCUUCAGGGAGAUGAACAGCAUGUAUUUGGACAUCUGAGACAAAUGAAAUAUGAUUAUAUGAAUUAAUUGUGGCUGUGAAGUUUUUCAAGUUCUUCACGUUUUUCAUGAACAUACAGAUUUGGUUGUUGACAGUGGCACAAUGUUUCAUUUGAAUUGCUGAGGAUGGAAGAGUUUCUGACUUUGCAAGGCACCCCAAGACACAGCUGAAUCCCAGUUCUAUUUGAAGCUGGUGGCUGGGUUCUUAUGGAUUUCACUGUCAUCAGGAUUCCAUCUGCCGGUUUGCUGGACCUGGCACAGCAAUUCUCCAGCACUGACGCUAGUGGCAAUUCAUGACAGUUCAUGAAGACCUACUUUCAGCUUUGGGAUAUGCAGUGCCAUCCAAACUGGGUUGGAACUAGAUGAUCUUUAAGGUCCUUUCCAACCAACUCAUUCUGUGAUUCUGUGAUAAUAUCAUCUGUGCAAUCUCAGAGCCAUGGAAGUACAAAAAGGAAUUCAGACAGCAUGUUGGAUCCCCAGUGCUCCCAAAAUUACAGAGGUACAUAAUUGCACAGCUUUUUGAUACUGGAAGACCAACUACUUUUCUUCAGUGCACGUUAGCACUAAUCAGUUGUCUAGAUCUGGACCAAUCUAUAGAAGUGAAAUUACAGAGACAUUAAGAAGGUAAAUCAUGUUUAUUACACCAGUGCCUAAGGCUGAGAAAGUACAAGGCUCUCCCCAGAAGACACUGUACUCCCUGCUCCAAAAAAAGCUCAGAGCUGGAGAAAAGCAGCUGAAUGUGUUUGUAAAGUGCAGGUUGCAAUUUGAGAGCAAGCACGUAGGCUAUGCAGUACCUUGGUCAUGUAAGAGUCAGUUUGAGAACAAAAACAGAAAGAAGAGAGAAAUGAGAAGAGACACUGAAAAGAGGAUUGUUGGAGUAACAGUCCCAGGAGUGGAAUGAAGCUGAUGUAAGAGAUUCUGAGCACAGGGGCUGGAACAACCAACCAGUGAACAUGGGUGACUGUUGAGCCAGCACUGCAGAGUGGGGAUGGCUGUCACUCCUGCCUUGGCAGCUGCUUUCAUGGCUUGCUUCUUCCCCAUCUGAGACCUGGUUCCCCAAGAAAUGGGGAUUGCUCUCAGUAUAGGUGUGAGCCAGAGCAUCUAGAGUUAAUUUCUUUUUUCUGAACUUCCUUUUAAAGCAGAUUUAAGGAGUAAAACAGACAGAGUACACAGAGGGACAUUUGCAAUAUUAUGUUGAAAAUAUUGCCCCAGAUCUCAAGUUUAGGAACUAAAGAUCCUGUUCUGGCACCUGAUCAGCUGAGUAGGAGAUGUUCCAGAACAAAAUUAUCAAGAAAAGGCUGAUGCAGGUUGUGUGACAUAUUUUCUUGUCUACAUGGGAAGUCCAGGAUGUAUUUUAGGUGAUGCAUUUUGUGUCAUUUAAGUAACUGAUACUGUAGCUAUGUUUGCCCUGCCAGAGGAUUUCUAAACUCUUUGUACCAACUAACUUUAGUUGAGAUACAAUACAAUGGACUUACUCCUUUUUCUGCAUUUUCCCAAAUUCAGAUUUCACCCUUUAUCUUAACUGAGGCAGCAGCAGCACCAUGUAUUUUCCAUUACCUCCUCCCCUGCUUCUAAUAAAAAUUCAACUAUGGGUCAAAUCCUUGGCUGGAAAGAGCCUAUACAGACCAGGAUCUGCUGUGUAUAAAAAAGUUAC